AAAAAGAGAAGAAAAGAGACGAAAAGAAGAAGCCGUCGUUUAAAAGUUUGGACACAUCGG
rnacentral:sRNA from 1 species